GUAAUUCUUAAUCUUGGAUACUACUGCUGUCUGUGCCCAUAUAAGCAAUUGCCAGCCUUCUCCCGGCGGAGGGACACUCUACAUGGACUUCUUACGUAUCAGGGAGAUUUGGCAAAGUGAAACAGACUACAUAUAGUACUGGACCGGCUUUAGAGAUGGUUCUGUCACCCCAGGAGCUGGAGCAACCAAUAUAGACAACAAAUUGCUGGAUCAUACAGAUGGAGCUAGGUCAAGAUGAAGAGUAAUGAAAAGUAAUAAAGAGUAAUCACCUGAAU